AGGACGAACGCUGGCGGCGUGCUUAACACAUGCAAGUCGAGCGGAAAGGCCCUUCGGGGUACUCGAGCGGCGAACGGGUGAGUAACACGUGAGUAAUCUGCCCCUAGCUCUGGGAUAGCUCCGGGAAACCGGGAUUAAUACCGGAUAUGACCACUUUAGACAUCUGCUGUGGUGGAAAGAAUUUCGGCUAGGGAUGAGCUCGCGGCCUAUCAGCUUGUUGGUGGGGUAACGGCCUACCAAGGCGACGACGGGUAGCCGGCCUGAGAGGGCGACCGGCCACACUGGGACUGAGACACGGCCCAGACUCCUACGGGAGGCAGCAGUGGGGAAUAUUGCGCAAUGGGCGAAAGCCUGACGCAGCGACGCCGCGUGGGGGAUGAAGGCCUUCGGGUUGUAAACCCCUUUCAGCAGGGACGAAGCGAAAGUGACGGUACCUGCAGAAGAAGCGCCGGCUAACUACGCGCCAGCAGCCGC
rnacentral:rRNA from 1 species